rnacentral:rRNA from 1 species
AGAGUUUGAUCCUGGCUCAGGAUGAACGCUAGCUACAGGCUUAACACAUGCAAGUCGAGGAGAAACGAUAUUGGAAGCUUGCUUCCGAUAGGCGUCGACCGGCGUACGGGUGAGUAACGCGUAUCCAACCUGCCCACCACUUGGGGAUAACCUUGCGAAAGUAAGACUAAUACCCAAUGACGUCUAUAGAAGACAUCUGAAGGAGAUUAAAGAUUUAUCGGUGAUGGAUGGGGAUGCGUCUGAUUAGCUUGUUGGCGGGGUAACGGCCCACCAAGGCGACGAUCAGUAGGGGUUCUGAGAGGAAGGCCCCCCACAUUGGAACUGAGACACGGUCCAAACUCCUACAGGAGGCAGCA